CAGUCGCCGCGGUAAUACGAAGGGUGCAAGCGUUAAUCGGAAUUACUGGGCGUAAAGCGUGCGUAGGCGGUUUGUUAAGUCUGUUGUGAAAGCCCCGGGCUCAACCUGGGAAUGGCAAUGGAUACUGGCGAGCUAGAGUGUGUCAGAGGAUGGUGGAAUUCCCGGUGUAGCGGUGAAAUGCGUAGAGAUCGGGAGGAACAUCAGUGGCGAAGGCGGCCAUCUGGGACAACACUGACGCUGAGGCACGAAAGCGUGGGGAGCAAACAGGAUUAGAUACCCGCGUAGUCCCUGUCUCUUAUAA
rnacentral:rRNA from 1 species